ACUUAAAUAGCUUAUAUGAGAGCGUAGUAUUGAAGAUACUAAGGAAAAGUAGAUUUUUUAAGUA
rnacentral:tRNA from 1 species